CCUACGGGUGGCAGCAGUGGGGAAUAUUGGACAAUGGGCGAAAGCCUGAUCCAGCCAUGCCGCGUGUGUGAAGAAGGCCUUCGGGUUGUAAAGCACUUUCAGUGGGGAAGAAAGCCUUGGGGCUAAUACCCUCGAGGAAGGACAUCACCCACAGAAGAAGCACCGGCUAACUCCGUGCCAGCAGCCGCGGUAAUACGGAGGGUGCGGGCGUUAAUCGGAAUUACUGGGCGUAAAGCGCGCGUAGGCGGUCUGAUAAGCCGGUUGUGAAAGCCCCGGGCUCAACCUGGGAACGGCAUCCGGAACCGUCAGGCUAGAGUGCAGGAGAGGAAGGUAGAAUUCCCGGUGUAGCGGUGAAAUGCGUAGAGAUCGGGAGGAAUACCAGUGGCGAAGGCGGCCUUCUGGACUGACACUGACGCUGAGGUGCGAAAGCGUGGGUAGCAAACAGGAUUAGAUACCCGAGUAGUC
rnacentral:rRNA from 1 species